rnacentral:rRNA from 1 species
GGCGUAAGCGCACGCAGGCGGUCUGUCAAGUCGGAUGUGAAAUCCCCGGGCUCAACCUGGGAACUGCAUUCGAAACUGGCAGGCUAGAGUCUUGUAGAGGGGGGUAGAAUUCCAGGUGUAGCGGUGAAAUGCGUAGAGAUCUGGAGGAAUACCGGUGGCGAAGGCGGCCCCCUGGACAAAGACUGACGCUCAGGUGCGAAAGCGUGGGGAGCAAACAGGAUUAGAUACCCUGGUAGUCCACGCCGUAAACGAUGUCGACUUGGAGGUUGUUCCCUUGAGGAGUGGCUUCCGGAGCUAACGCGUUAAGUCGACCGCCUGGGGAGUACGGCCGCAAGGUUAAAACUCAAAUGAAUUGACGGGGGCCCGCACAAGCGGUGGAGCAUGUGGUUUAAUUCGAUGCAACGCGAAGAACCUUACCUACUCUUGACAUCCACGGAAUUCAGCAGAGAUGCUUUAGUGCCUUCGGGAACCGUGAGACAGGUGCUGCAUGGCUGUCGUCAGCUCGUGUUGUGAAAUGUUGGGUUAAGUCCCGCAACGAGCGCAACCCUUAUCCUUUGUUGCCAGCGGUUCGGCCGGGAACUCAAAGGAGACUGCCAGUGAUAAACUGGAGGAAAGUGGGGAUGACGUCCAGUCAUCAUGGCCCUUACGAGUAGGGCUACACACGUGCUACAAUGGCGCAUACAAAGAGAAGCGACCUCGCGAGAGCAAGCGGACCUCAUAAAGUGCGUCGUAGUCCGGAUCGGAGUCUGCAACUCGACUCCGUGAAGUCGGAAUCGCUAGUAAUCGUAAAUCAAAUGCUACGGUGAAUACGUU